AUCAGUGCCUUUCUACUUCUUCCAUUUCCCCCAGUGGGGCUGAAUUUGCAUCAUGGGGUUAUUUAGUUUUAGAACUCCUACCUCUUCUUCCAGAGUUUUUCCCGGUGCAAGCUGAGGGUGCCACCUCCACCCUCGCGACCUUCGAAGGUCAAAGAGUUUCCUCCUUGGGGCCGGGCUUCUCAGAAAAGCCACCUCCGCAGUGCUCAGGUUAUGAAAUGCCCCCUCCACUGCCCAGGCCCUUUUCGCUGGAAUCACGGUGCAGUCCACGGGGAAGUGUUGCUGGGCUGCAUGCAGAGGGGUCAGAGAUGAGACUCCUUCACCCUCCCAUGCCCCCGUUUGACAGAGAAGAAACCUGAGAUUCCAAGAGAAACUGAUUUUGUGGCUCUGAAACCUGGCUCUUCCCUCUGCACCUGCUGACCAAGAUCUCAACUUCUGGAAGAGGACACAUUAAGGACUUCAGAUGUACCUCACGAUCUGAACAAUUAUAUUUUUAUUUCAAAAUAAUGUUAUCACAACCCAAAGAGUGAAAUUAACAAUAUAUAAUAAAUU
rnacentral:lncRNA from 1 species